GGCAGCUGCAGUAUGCUCAUCUCUGGGCUUUGGUUUCCUCAACCAUGAAGGGCAGGUGAUAACAGCACCCUAUUUGACAGAUGUGCUGAGGAGGAGACGAGGUGAUCUGAGAUGAGGGGUGUAACCAGUUUCCUUCCCCUAUGAGCUGGUUCGCACAGGAGGCCACCCUGAUGGAAGAACACACGCUCAGCUUCCCAGGAUCCGUAAAGAAAAAAGAGCGGGAAGAAUAACUGGAAGGGACCUUGCAAGUCACCUAUUAAAGGUGGAGGAGCCACAUGUGGAAGGAGCCGAGGUCCCCAAAUGACCACAAGGAAGGCUACCUGCCAACCGUGAACAUCCACAAUUGGUUUUUACUA